GGCUAUUCUGUGUCGUGCCGGCGCAGCUGCCGACCUGAGAAUUUCGUUCCAGUUUGGUGAGAAGUGUGAUUUCCCAAAAAAAGCCUUUUGCCAUUUGCUGUUGCCACCUUUUAUGACUCCCUGCGUAACGAAAGGAGUGAGAGAGAAUCCAACGAAAGCUAAUCCAGCUAUUCUCUUUUGCACCUUUGUGUUUUUUUUUUGGUGGUGAGAAAAAGAGGCUAAAUCAGCUGUUUGGUGCACCGAUUGUUACGCCGGUAGAGCACAGUUUUUUGUGAUUAUCUGUGGCAUACGUGAAGGUGUGAAAGGAGAAGAACGAGGAAAAGGAUAAGGCUGCUGCUGUUGGAUUAUUGGCUUUGUUGCUGUAGUGGUGUAUUGCGGUUCGUGGUUGCUGCUGAUACGAUUGUUGUUGGUUGCUGUUGGCCUUUGGUGGAGUCCCACUGAAACUGUGCUGCUGGUGCUGGAUUGAUCAGGUAUGUGAUUUGUUUUGACUAUUAUUUUUGGACAUUUUUUUUUUUUUUGCGUAAUUUACAAAACGAAAAACAAAAUUGAUAGUUUUGAGUUUUUUUUCCGCUUGACUGUGUGUGACAUUUUGCUUUGUUUUGUAUUUCCCUUACUGAAGGAUGACUUUAAAUACGACAGCGGAACCCUUCAUACCAGGAACGAUUUCUUUUCAACAAUACUUAGAGCAAUUAGAAUGGAUGUUUAUUCAUAAUGAGUACGCUGAGGAAAGAUAUAAAGCUUCCUUUCUAGCAGUAUGUGGCACCGAAGUUUAUACUCAAAUUAGGCUUUUAUUUCCUGGCCGAAGCCUCAAAGAUCUUACAUAUAAACAAAUAACCGAUGAACUGAAGAAGCGUUAUGAUAAAAAAGAAUCAGAUGUUAUACACAGUUACAAAUUUUGGACUAGAAGACAGGGCCAAUACGAAAAAUCAAUAGAUUUUGUGCUCGCGGUUAAACAACUAGCUGAAGAAUGUGACUUUGGGGCAUUUAAGGAUCGGGCAAUUAGGGACGUUUUAGUGAUUGGCAUAAAUGAUAAACAACUCCAGAAAAGACUCUUCGACGAAGAUGAUUUAACGGCUGCCAAAACAGAAAGGAUCAUAGUAAAUCAGGAAAAAGCCUCAGAAAAUGUAGGACAAGUGCUAGGUAGAAGCGCAGAAAAAAAUGUGAGCAUUGUUGCUAGACUAGGUCGUAGAAAUGAACGCUAUCAUUCAAGAUCACAGUACCCAAGAAGAAGUCGUAGUUUUGGACGGAACCGAUCAAGGAGUAGAAGUGCUAAUGGUCAUGAAUAUGGCAAUGGUAGGAACUCUGGGAAACCUUCAUAUCUAUGUUCGUACUGUAAAAAGCGAGGUCACACGAGGAAAUAUUGUUAUCGUCUCAAAGAUAGAAGCCCUCAAAACAAUAAAAGCAAUGUAAAAUUUGUAGACUCGCCUAAGCCAGAUACUUCUGGACUAUUUAAGAGGUUGAAAGUAGAUAUGGAGUCUGAUGAUGAAGAAGAAGUUGCAGGAUGCCUUAUGAUCUCUUCGGUUAACAAAAUAAGUGAACCUUGUUUCGUUGAACCAAAAGUUGAAAACAAAUACUUACAGAUGGAAAUAGAUUGUGGUUCAGCGAAAAGUGUUAUUUCGGAGAAAACGUUUUUAAAAGAUUUUAGGAAUUGCCCACUAGAAAAAUGCAGCAAACGUUUAGCAGUAAUUGAUGGCAAUAGAUUGAAAGUAUUAGGCAAAUUGAAUGUUUUUGUGCAGCUCAAUAGAAUCCAAAAAUCUCUUCAACUGGUGGUCCUGAAGUGUGACAAUGAUUUCGUACCAUUGGUAGGCAGAUCAUGGCUAGAUGUUUUUUAUCCAUCAUGGAGGGGUACAUUUUUAAAAUCAGCAUCACACACGGGAAAGAUCAAUGCACUCAAGGAAGAGGAGAUCGUUGAUGACAUAAAAAAUUUCUCUCGCUGGUAGAAUUGUUUCUGCACAUAAACGACAGUUGAAAGUACCGACCGACUCUCGCCAAAAGCAUAAAAGAAGUUUCGUCUUUAGUGGAGAGAGUCCAGCAAAACCUGUACAAUCGACAGCCACAGUUGAAACUCUUGACCAAAGCAUACCAUCAACACAGCACAAUGGCUCUAAUGUUUGCAUUCGUCCUGAACCAUCAGUUAUACAAGCCAACCAAUGCCACAAACGACGACGUGAAGAAGAUAUUAGUAGCGAAUCUGAGUCCGAAGGUGAAUUCUAUGGCUUUCCAGCCGACUCGAAUAUUUUUGAUGAAUUUCCCGAUAAUGUAGUAAUCUCUGAAUUGCCUACAGAAACAACAAGAAGAAGCAAAAGAAAAUUGAAGAAGAAACGUAAGAAUGAUUACGUCUAUUAUUAGUAUAAGAUGAAAUCUCUAGAGGUGAAUAAGUAAAUUUUAGUAAAAUAUCAGUAAUGCAAUUUACGUUCUGAAAAUUGAAUGGAAUAGAUUAAACUUUAAAGAUGAGUUUUCGAAAAAUAGAUAUUUGAAAUGCUAGCUUAAGGGAUGAGGAGUUGAUAUAUCCACAUGUUCUGGAAGCACUGCUUCAGAACACAGGCGGUAAAAUGAAUAAUACCGAUUCGAUAAGAUGGAAAAGGAAAGUAGACAAGAGCGAGAGAG